CCUACGGGAGGCAGCAGUGGGGAAUUUUGGACAAUGGGCGAAAGCCUGAUCCAGCAAUGCCGCGUGAGUGAAGAAGGCCUUCGGGUUGUAAAGCUCUUUUGUCAGGGAAGAAACGGUGAGAGCUAAUAUCUUUUGCUAAUGACGGUACCUGAAGAAUAAGCACCGGCUAACUACGUGCCAGCAGCCGCGGUAAUACGUAGGGUGCAAGCGUUAAUCGGAAUUACUGGGCGUAAAGCGUGCGCAGGCGGUUUUGUAAGUCUGAUGUGAAAUCCCCGGGCUCAACCUGGGAAUUGCAUUGGAGACUGCAAGGCUAGAAUCUGGCAGAGGGGGGUAGAAUUCCACGUGUAGCAGUGAAAUGCGUAGAUAUGUGGAGGAACACCGAUGGCGAAGGCAGCCCCCUGGGUCAAGAUUGACGCUCAUGCACGAAAGCGUGGGGAGCAAACAGGAUUAGAUACCCUGGUAGUCCACGCCCUAAACGAUGUCUACUAGUUGUCGGGUCUUAAUUGACUUGGUAACGCAGCUAACGCGUGAAGUAGACCGCCGUGGGGAGUACGGUUCGCGAAAGAUUAAAACGUCAAAAGUUGAAUUGACGG
rnacentral:rRNA from 1 species